CUUGUCCCACUGAGUCACUGUGGAAGCCCAUCUUCUUCUUUACUUCUCCCACUGAAAGAUUCACCGUGUUCUGCAUCUCGCCUCUCGCCUCUUGCCUCCCACAUCGACGCAUGCCAACAACAAAGCAAGUGAUGACCGUGCAUGUAAGUUCUUCAAAUGGUUGGACACCAACACUUGCACGUGUGGUGCAGCCACAGCACCUAUUGUGUUAGCAAAAUUCCGAAGAUUGGAGCACGAGGUGGAA